rnacentral:rRNA from 1 species
AAUAGAUACCCGGGUAGUCCACGCCGUAAACGAUGAAUACUAGGUGUGGGAGUUAUCGUGACUUCCGUGCCGCAGUUAACACAAUAAGUAUUCCGCCUGGGGAGCACGGUCGCAAGAUUAAAACUCAAAGGAAUUGACGGGGGCCCGCACAAGCAGCGGAGCAUGUGGUUUAAUUCGAAGCAACGCGAAGAACCUUACCUAGACUUGACAUCAUUCUGCAUACUCAGUAAUGUGAGGAAGCCUCCUUUUCGGGGGCGGAAUGACAGGUGGUGCAUGGUUGUCGUCAGCUCGUGUCGUGAGAUGUUGGGUUAAGUCCCGCAACGAGCGCAACCCUUGUCGUUAGUUGCUACCAUUAAGUUGAGCACUCUAGCGAGACUGCCGCGGUUAACGCGGAGGAAGGUGGGGAUGACGUCAAAUCAUCAUGCCCCUUAUGUCUAGGGCUACACACGUGCUACAAUGGGCAGUACAAUGUGAUGCAAUCCCGUGAGGGGGAGCUAAACACGAAAACUGUUCCCAGUUCGGAUUGCG